rnacentral:misc_RNA from 1 species
GAUGAAGAACGUAGUGAAAUGCGAUAAGUAAUGUGAAUUGCAGAAUUCAGUGAAUCAUCGAAUCUUUGAACGCACCUUGCGCUCUUUGGUAUUCCGAAGAGCAUGCCUGUUUGAGUGUCAUGAAAAUAUCAACCUUGACUUGGGUUUUGUGCUCUAGUCUCGGCUUGGAAUUGGGUGCUUGCCGCUUUUACGAGCGGCUCACCUUAAAUGUAUUAGCUGGAUCUGUCUUUGAGACUUGGUUUGACUUGGCGUAAUAAGUAUUUCGCUAAGGACAUUCUUCGGAGUGGCCUCGUUUCUAGGACGCUUGUCCGCUUUCCAAUACAAGUUCCACCUCGUGGACAUGACUUUUUAUUAUCUGGCCUCAAAUCAGGUAGGACUACCCGCUGAACUUAAGCAUAUAAAUAAGCGGAGGA